UGUCAUAUUGUCUAGCGGAUUCCUGGUUUUCACCCAGGCGGCCCGGGUUCGACUCCCGGUAUGGGAA
rnacentral:tRNA from 1 species